rnacentral:tRNA from 2 species
GCCCGGAUAGCUCAGUCGGUAGAGCAGGGGAUUGAAAAUCCCCGUGUCGGUGGUUCGAUUCCGCCUCUGGGCACCA